rnacentral:rRNA from 1 species
CGGGAGGCAGCAGUAGGGAAUCUUCGGCAAAUGGACGUUAUAGUCUGACCGAGCAAACGCCGCGUGAGUGAAGAAGGUUUUCGGAUCGUAAGAACUCUGUUGUUAGAGAAGAACAAGGGACGUUAGUAACUGUACGUCCCCUGACGGUAUCUAACCAGAAGCCACGGCUAACUACGUGCCAGCAGCCGCGGUAAUACGUAGGUGGCAAGCGUUGUCCGGAUUUAUUGGGCGUAAAGCGAGCGCAGGCGGUUUCGUAAGUCUGAUGUGAAAGCCCCCGGCUCAACCGGGGAGGGUCAUUGGAAACUGGGAGACUUGAGUGCAGAAGAGGAGAGUGGAAUUCCAUGUGUAGCGGUGAAAUGCGUAGAUAUAUGGAGGAACACCAGUGGCGAAGGCGGCUCUCUGGUCUGUAACUGACGCUGAGGCUCGAAAGCGUGGGGAGCAAACAGGAUUAGAUACCCUGGUAGUCCACGCCGUAAACGAUUGAGUGCUAAGUGUUGGAGGGUUUCCGCCCUUCAGUGCUGCAGCAUACGCAUUAAGCACUCCCCUGGUGACAUACCGGGCC